UACGAAGGGGGCUAGCGUUGCUCGGAAUCACUGGGCGUAAAGCGCACGUAGGCGGAUCUUUAAGUCAGGGGUGAAAUCCCAAGGCUCAACCUUGGAACUGCCUUUGAUACUGGGGAUCUCGAGUCCGGAAGAGGUUGGUGGAACUGCGAGUGUAGAGGUGAAAUUCGUAGAUAUUCGCAAGAACACCAGUGGCGAUGGCGGCCAACUGGUCCGGUACUGACGCUGAGGUGCGAAAGCGUGGGGAGCAAACAGG
rnacentral:rRNA from 1 species